rnacentral:rRNA from 1 species
AGAGUUUGAUCAUGGCUCAGAAUCAACGCUGGCGGCGUGCCUAACACAUGCAAGUCGAACGAGAAAGUGGAGCAAUCCAUGAGUAAAGUGGCGACCGGGUGAGUAACACGUGACUAACCUACCUCCGAAUGGGGAAUAACUCCGGGAAACCGGGGCUAAUACCGCAUAGCACCGCAAGGUCAAAGCAGCAAUGCGUUUGGAGAGGGGGUCGCGGCUGAUUAGCUAGUUGGCGGGGUAACGGCCCACCAAGGCGAAGAUCGGUAUCCGGCCUGAGAGGGCGCACGGACACACUGGAACUGAAACACGGUCCAGACUCCUACGGGAGGCAGCAGUGGGGAAUUUUGCGCAAUGGGGGAAACCCUGACGCAGCAACGCCGCGUGGAGGAUGAAGCCCUUUGGGGCGUAAACUCCUUUCGACCAAGACGAUAAUGACGGUACUGGUGGAAGAAGCACCGGCUAACUCUGUGCCAGCAGCCGCGGUAAUACAGAGGGUGCAAGCGUUGUUCGGAAUUAUUGGGCGUAAAGGGCGCGUAGGCGGUGCCACAAGUCACCUGUGAAAUCUCCGGGCUUAACUCGGAGCCUGCAGGCGAAACUGUGGUGCUGGAGUGUGGGAGAGGUGCGUGGAAUUCCCGGUGUAGCGGUGAAAUGCGUAGAUGUCGGGAGGAACACCUGUGGCGAAAGCGGCGCACUGGACCAUAACUGACGCUGAGGCGCGAAAGCUAGGGGAGCAAACAGGAUUAGAUACCCUGGUAGUCCUAGCCCUAAACGAUGAUUGCUUGGUGUAGCAGGUACCCAAUCCUGCUGUGCCGCAGCUAACGCGAUAAGCAAUCCGCCUGGGGAGUACGGUCGCAAGGCUGAACUUAAAGGAAUUGACGGGGGCCCGCACAAGCGGUGGAGCAUGUGGUUCAAUUCGACGCAACGCGAAGAACCUUACCUGGGCUCGAAAUGCAAGAGAUCGGGGUGGAAACAUCCCUUCCCCUAAAAGGCUGCUGCAUAGGUGCUGCAUGGCUGUCGUCAGC